rnacentral:tRNA from 1 species
GCGGCUGUGAUCCAACGGCUAAGAUACAGCCUUCCCAAGGCUGGUAUCCGGGUUCGAAUCCCGGCAGCCGCA